rnacentral:rRNA from 1 species
ACCAGGUAGAUAGGCCGGAAGUGGAAGCAUGGCAACAUGUGCAGCGGACCGGUACUAAUAGACCGAAGACUUGACCACACAA